rnacentral:lncRNA from 1 species
CCACAACCUACAGUAAGCACCCCUGGAGUCACACCACCAAGCCAACACUGUGGUAAGUAUAGGACUGUCAGAGAAAGUACAUGACACAACACAGAGAGGCUAGUUAGGUCACACACAGGACAACACAGAGGCUAGUUUAGGUCACUAACAAGACAACACAGAGGCUAGUUUAGGUCACACACAGGACAACACAGAGGCUAGUUUAGGUCACACACAGGACAACACAGAGGCUAGUUUAGGUCACACACAGGACAACACAGAGGCUAGUUUAGGUCACACACAGGACAACACAGAGGCUAGUUUAGGUCACACACAAGACAACACAGAGGCUAGUUUAGGUCACACACAGGACAACACAGAGGCUAGUUUAGGUCACACAAGACAAUAUUUGCAACAUUUGAAGAACAGACAAUGUAAGUGAACUGUGCAUGGAGGACAUUUUUCAUUAUGUGAUCCACAAGCUUUUUUUUCUGUCGCAGAAGGUUGAGUUGAGUUGGAUUCAAUUGAAUGCAAGAGCUGCCUCCUGUCUCCUGCUUCCACUAGUAUCAUUCAGAUCAGUCUAUUUUAACAGCAUGUGUCUAGUACCUACAGUACAGCAUCAGCGAACUCCAUGUCCAGGCACCAGGGAGUUAAGGGAAAAGGGUCAGUUGUACAGCUGAAUGCAUUCAACUGAAAUGUGUCUUUCUCAUUUAACCCAACCCCUUUGAAUCAAGGCACUACAGCCCUGUGUUAUUACAUAUCACUACUCUGGGUCAGUAAGUUGUACUAUGUACUGUACACUGCACAGUGCACUUAUUGUAGACUACCUUUCCUUGAAGGCCAAAAUACUGUCCCAGAGCUCUC